rnacentral:pre_miRNA from 1 species
UGAUGAUGAUGAUGAUGAUGAUGAUGAUGAGGAUGAUGAUGAUAAUGAUGAUUUUAUUAUCAUCAUCAUCAUCAUCAUUGUUGUUUAAG